rnacentral:sRNA from 1 species
CUAUAGUCCCGAAGCUUCGGGAGAAAUCCUUUUAUUUUUUGCUGCCAAAAAAUAAAAGAUUGUAAUGAAUAGCGGGAAUAGCU